CCUACGGGUGGCAGCAGUCGAGAAUCAUUCACAAUGGGGGAAACCCUGAUGGUGCGACGCCGCGUGGGGGAAUGAAGGUCUUCGGAUUGUAAACUCUUGUCAUGUGGGAGCAAAUUACAAAGAUAGUACCACAAGAGCAAGAGAAGGUUAACUCGGUGCCAGCAGCCGCGGUAAUACGUCGGUGGCAAGCGUUGUCCGGAAUGACUGGGUGUAAAGGGAGCGCAGGCGGGAGGCCAAGUCAGCUGUGAAAACUACGGGCUUAACUUGUCGACUGCAGUUGAAACUGGUUUGCUAGAGUGAAGUAGAGGUUGGCGGAAUUCCGAGUGUAGCGGUGAAAUGCGUAGAUAUUCGGAGGAACACCGGUGGCGAAGGCGGCCAACUGGGCUUUAACUGACGUUGAGGCUCGAAAGUGUGGGGAGCAAACAGGAUUAGAUACCCCAGUAGUC
rnacentral:rRNA from 1 species